rnacentral:rRNA from 1 species
CCUACGGGAGGCAGCAGUGGGGAAUAUUGGACAAUGGGGGCAACCCUGAUCCAGCCAUGCCGCGUGUGUGAAGAAGGCCCUCGGGUUGUAAAGCACUUUCAGUGAGGAAGAACGCCUGGUGGUUAAUACCCAUCAGGAAAGACAUCACUCACAGAAGAAGCACCGGCUAACUCCGUGCCAGCAGCCGCGGUAAUACGGAGGGUGCGAGCGUUAAUCGGAAUUACUGGGCGUAAAGCGCGCGUAGGUGGCUUGAUAAGCCGGUUGUGAAAGCCCCGGGCUCAACCUGGGAACGGCAUCCGGAACUGUCAAGCUAGAGUGCAGGAGAGGAAGGUAGAAUUCCCUGUGUAGCGGUGAAAUGCGUAGAGAUCGGGAGGAAUACCAGUGGCGAAGGCGGCCUUCUGGACUGACACUGUCACUGAGGUGCGAAAGCGUGGGUAGCAAACAGGAUUAGAUACCCUAGUAGUC